ensembl:lncRNA
AACCUUCACUGGAAUCCUAGUCAACCCACUGAAAUGAUAACUAGACCGAAGGGUUGCCAAGUGAAGAUUAAAAAAAGGACUGAGAAUCCUCAUCAGCAGCUAUAUAGGUCAGAGAAAAUGCUGAAGGAAAAAAGAAACCCUAGAAAAAAAGAAGAUAAGAUGGCAGAAUAGAAGGACUGGAGCUCAACUUCUCUCCUAAGAACAACAAAAUUCACAACUGAAAGCUGAGCAAUGCCCACCUGAAUGGACCAGAAACCUUAAAAAAGAUACCCUACUCCAGAAGAAAAAGAGAAGGCUGCAUCAAGAGGUAGGUGGGGUGAUUUCAUGAUAUAAAAAAUCCCAUCCUGCCUGGGUGGGAAGCUCCACAGACUGAAAACUAACUGGUUCACAGAGAGAGACUCACCUACCAGAGUGAGAGUUCUGAGCCCCACAUCAAACCCUCACAUGUGGGGAUCCGGCACUGGGAGAAAGAGCCCCUGGAGCAUCUGGCAUUGAAGGCCAGUGGGGCUUGUGUGCAGGAGCUCCACAGGACUGAGGGAAAUGGAGACCCCAUUCUUAAAAGGCGCACACGGACUUUCACGUGCAGUGGAUCCCAGGGCAGAGCGAGGUCUCCAUAGGAAUCUGGGUCAAACCUGACUGCAGUUCUUGGAGGACAUCCUGGGAAAACAGGGGUGAAUGUGGCUUGUUGUGAGGGAGGGACAUUGAAGGCAAAACUCUCGGGAAUAUUCAGCAGUUGCCUUUCUCUGGAGGUGGCCAUUUUGGGAAAACCUGGCCCCAACCAUCAGUCAGUGCUGAGAAGCUCCCAGGGCAAACAACAAUCCAGGUGGGAUCACAGCCCUCUCCUCAGUAAACAGGCUACUUAAAGACCCCUCAGGCACACAGCUGCCUCUGAUCCCAUCCAGGGACUAAGCCCCAUUCACCAGAGGGAUUAGAAUCAGCUCCACCUACCAGUGGGCAGGCAUCAGCCCCUCCCAUCAGGAAGCC